rnacentral:rRNA from 1 species
UACGUAGGGGGCUAGCGUUGUCCGGAAUCAUUGGGCGUAAAGCGCGUGUAGGCGGCCCGGUAAGUCCGCUGUGAAAGUCGGGGGCUCAACCCUCGGAUGCCGGUGGAUACUGUCGGGCUUGAGUACGGAAGAGGCGAGUGGAAUUCCUGGUGUAGCGGUGAAAUGCGCAGAUAUCAGGAGGAACACCUAUUGCGAAGGCAGCUCGCUGGGACGUGACUGGACGCUGAGACGCGAAAGCGUGGGGAGCAAACAGGAUUAAGAAACC